rnacentral:snRNA from 1 species
AUACUUACCUGGCAGGGGAGAUACCAUGAUCACAAAGGUGGUUAUCGCAGUGCGAGGCUUAUCCAUCGCACUGGGAAUGUGCUGACCCCUGCGAUUUCCCCAAAUGCGGGAAACUCGACUGCAUAGUUUGUGGUAGUGGGGGACUGAGUUCGCGCUUUCCCUUG